rnacentral:rRNA from 1 species
CUAAGGGCGCAAGGUGGAUGCCUUGGUGCCAGGAGGCGAUGAAAGACGUGGUUAGCUGCGAUAAGCUUCGGGGAGCCGCUAAACAGGCCCAGAUCCGGAGAUUUCUGAAUGGGGAAACCCGGUCCGUGUCAUGACGGAUCAUCUGCAACUGAAUCCAUAGGUUGCAGAAGCGAACGGGGGGAACUGAAACAUCUAAGUACCCUCAGGAAAAGAAAACGACAGUGAUUCCCCAAGUAGUGGCGAGCGAACGGGGAACAGCCUAAACCGGUGGCGUGUCAAGCCUGCAAGCGUUGCGUCACCGGGGUUGCGGAGCUCCAUUGGAGGGAAUUGCAGUUCUCUCGGAAAGUUACAAAAUCUGUUUAUAGCCGAAGCUGCUGGAAAGCGGCGUCACAGAGGGUGAUAGCCCCGUAAGCGAAAUGAACAGAUCUUUCUGGAUGGAGUUUCCAAGUACUGCGGGACACGAGAAAUCCCGCAGGAACCCGGGGGGACCAUCUCCCAAGGCUAAAUACUACCUGGCAACCGAUAGUGCACUAGUACCGUGAGGGAAAGGUGAAAAGUACUCCGAGAGGAGAGUGAAAUAGUACCUGAAACCGUGCGCCUACAAGGUGUGGAAGGACCAGGGAUGAGGGCUUGCCCUUAUCCGGUCUGACUGCGUGCCUUUUGUAUAAUGAGUCAGCGAGUUAUUCUAUGCAGCGAGGUUAAGCCGUCAGGUGUAGCCGUAGCGAAAGCGAGUCUUAAUAGGGCGAUCGAGUUGCGUGGAAUAGACCCGAAACCAGGUGAUCUAUUCAUGGCCAGGGUGAAGCGCAUGUAACAGUGCGUGGAGGCCCGAACUGAUGUGGGUUGAAAACCGCUCGGAUGAGCUGUGAAUAGGGGUGAAAGGCCAAUCAAACUUGGAAAUAGCUGGUUCUCCCCGAAAUAUAUUUUGGUAUAGCCUUGCAACUUUAAGUAUCGGAGGUAGAGCACUGAAUGGGCUAGGGGUCUUACCAGACUACCAACCCCAACCAAACUCCGAAUGCCGAUAACUUCAAUUGCAGGAGUCAGACUGCGGGAGAUAAGUUCCGUGGUCGAAAGGGAAACAGCCCAGACCGCCAGCUAAGGUCCCCAAUACAUGCUAAGUGGAAAAGGAUGUGGAAGCGUAUAGACAGCCAGGAGGUUGGCUUAGAAGCAGCCACCCUUCAAAGAAAGCGUAAUAGCUCACUGGUCAAAUGAGUCUGCGCCGAAAAUUUAACGGGGCUCAAGCAUGUAACCGAAGCUGCGGACUUGCAUCGCAAGAUGGGAGUGGUAGGGGAGCAUUCUGUCGUAGGUUGAAGCCGGAUCGAAAGGCCCGGUGGACGAAACAGAAGAGAUUAUGCUGACAUAAGUAGCGAUAAAGUCUGUGAAAAACAGACUCGCCGAAAACCUAAGGUUUCCUGAGUAAAGCUAAUCUUCUCAGGGUUAGUCGAUCCCUAAGCCGAGGCCGACAGGCGUAGGUGAUGGGAAACAGGUUAAUAUUCCUGUACCACUGAAGACGCGUUAUCAACUAAGGGGGGACGUAGAAGGGUAAGCCAUCCGGGUGUUGGAUGUCCCGGUUCAAGCCCGUAGGGGGAGAUUCCAGGCAAAUCCGGAAUCUCAUUCAACUCCGAGAGGCGAUGAGGAGAGAUUUAUCUCAUAAACUGGCCGAUCCCAUGCUACCAAGAAAAUCCUCGUAGUGAGUUUCUUUGGUGAUCGUACCGCAUACUGACACAGGUAGGUGAGGAGAGAAUCCUAAGGCGCUUGAGUGAUCUCUCGUUAAGGAACUCGGCAAAAUGACACCGUAACUUCGGAAGAAGGUGUGCCUCGUUAGCGUGAAGCGAUUCGCACGUGAAGCGCGAAGAGGUUGCAAUAAAACGGCCCAAGCGACUGUUUAGCAAAAACACAGGACUCUGCUAAGUCGUAAGACGAUGUAUAGGGUCUGACGCCUGCCCGGUGCCGGAAGGUUAAGGGGAUUUGUUAGCCGCAAGGCGAAGCUUUGAACCGAAGCCCCGGUAAACGGCGGCCGUAACUAUAACGGUCCUAAGGUUAAAGUGAAAAACGCUAGCCUUAGUAAAACUAAACCAUAUGCGGGAAACUCCUCAACAGCCGUUCGAUACUCGUUUCGCGGACGACGCGGAACAGUAAAAAUUCGACGGACAGGGGGACAAUCCGCAGGGAAGGCCCGGAUCGUUUGAAAUCCGGGAACCCUCAGAGACUUGAUGUUUGGAGUUGACUUAUGAAUAUCAGUGCGGAAUGGAUCACAGGAUUUGUUGAUGGGGAAGGAUGCUUUCAUAUCGGCAUCAAUACUCAUGAUGAAAUGACGGCAGGUUUUCAGGUUUUACCGGAAUUCACCGUUGUUCAGCAUCAAAGAGAUGUGCAAAUCCUGCAUGCUCUGAAAGCGUAUUUCCAGUGCGGCGUCGUGAGGACCAAUCACGGUGACCGGAUGGCUUAUCGCGUAAGAGCAAAAGAGCAUUUGCUUGAAAAAAUUAUUCCAUUCUUCAUGAAGCAC